AUUCCUACGGGAGGCAGCAGUGGGGAAUAUUGGACAAUGGGCGAAAGCCUGAUCCAGCCAUGCCGCGUGUGUGAAGAAGGUCUUCGGAUUGUAAAGCACUUUAAGUUGGGAGGAAGGGCAUUAACCUAAUACGUUAGUGCUUUGACGUUACCGACAGAAUAAGCACCGGCUAACUCUGUGCCAGCAGCCGCGGUAAUAAU
rnacentral:rRNA from 1 species